rnacentral:rRNA from 1 species
AUUGAACGCUGGCGGCAUGCCUUACACAUGCAAGUCGAACGGUAACAGGUCUUCGGAUGCUGACGAGUGGCGAACGGGUGAGUAAUACAUCGGAACGUGCCCGAUCGUGGGGGAUAACGGAGCGAAAGCUUUGCUAAUACCGCAUACGAUCUACGGAUGAAAGCAGGGGACCGCAAGGCCUUGCGCGGACGGAGCGGCCGAUGGCAGAUUAGGUAGUUGGUGGGAUAAAAGCUUACCAAGCCGACGAUCUGUAGCUGGUCUGAGAGGACGACCAGCCACACUGGGACUGAGACACGGCCCAGACUCCUACGGGAGGCAGCAGUGGGGAAUGUUGGACAAUGGGCGAAAGCCUGAUCCAGCCAUGCCGCGUGCAGGAUGAAGGCCUUCGGGUUGUAAACUGCUUUUGUACGGAACGAAAAGACUCUUUCUAAUAAAGAGGGUCCAUGACGGUACCGUAAGAAUAAGCACCGGCUAACUACGUG